UGGGGAAUAUUGCACAAUGGGCGCAAGCCUGAUGCAGCCAUGCCGCGUGUAUGAAGAAGGCCUUCGGGUUGUAAAGUACUUUCAGCGGGGAGGAAGGGAGUAAAGUUAAUACCUUUGCUCAUUGACGUUACCCGCAGAAGAAGCACCGGCUAACUCCGUGCCAGCAGCCGCGGUAAUACGGAGGGUGCAAGCGUUAAUCGGAAUUACUGGGCGUAAAGCGCACGCAGGCGGUUUGUUAAGUCAGAUGUGAAAUCCUCGGGCUCAACCUGGGAACUGCAUCUGAUACUGGCAAGCUUGAGUCUCGUAGAGGGGGGUAGAAUUCCAGGUGUAGCGGUGAAAUGCGUAGAGAUCGGGAGGAAUACCGGUGGCGAAGGCGGCCCCCUGGACGAAGACUGACGCUCAGGUGCGAAAGCGUGGGGAGCAAACAGG
rnacentral:rRNA from 1 species